rnacentral:rRNA from 1 species
GACGAACGCUGGCGGCGCGCCUAACACAUGCAAGUCGAACGAGAGAUGAGGAGCUUGCUCUUCAAAUCGAGUGGCGAACGGGUGAGUAACGCGUGAGGAACCUGCCUCAAAGAGGGGGACAACAGUUGGAAACGACUGCUAAUACCGCAUAAGCCCACAGCUCGGCAUCGAGCAGAGGGAAAAGGAGCAAUCCGCUUUGAGAUGGCCUCGCGUCCGAUUAGCUGGUUGGUGAGGUAACGGCCCACCAAGGCGACGAUCGGUAGCCGGACUGAGAGGUUGAACGGCCACAUUGGGACUGAGACACGGCCCAGACUCCUACGGGAGGCAGCAGUGGGGAAUAUUGCACAAUGGGGGAAACCCUGAUGCAGCGACGCCGCGUGGAGGAAGAAGGUCUUCGGAUUGUAAACUCCUGUUGUUGAGGAAGAUAAUGACGGUACUCAACAAGGAAGUGACGGCUA